rnacentral:rRNA from 1 species
UACGGGGGGGGCAAGCGUUGUUCGGAAUUACUGGGCUUAAAGGGCGCGUAGGCGGCCCUGCAAGUCGGGGGUGAGAUCCCACAGCUUAACUGUGGAAGUGCCUCCGAUACUGCGGGGCUCGAGCGAGGUAGGGGCAGCUGGAACUUCCGGUGGAGCGGUGAAAUGCGUUGAUAUCGGAAGGAACGCCGGUGGCGAAAGCGAGCUGCUGGACCUCUUCUGACGCUGAGGCACGAAGGUCAGGGGAGCAAACGGG